ensembl:lncRNA
CUCAGCUCCAUGAAUGAGGCUGUCAAUACCCUGAAUGAGCUUAAAUCAAAAGUAGGUUAGAGAACAAUUUGAGCAGGAAAUGUCUUGCAGAGGAAUGUGCUGAACAAAGAGAACUUUGUGUCUUCCACUUGACGGUAUCUUCAUUUCUUAGUAUUGAGGAGACAUAAACCUGUUUUGGUGCAUCCAAAGGAGGGCCAUAAAAAUGAUCCAAAGGAUGGAAUAAGAUGGAACAACUCUCCAAUGAGGACAGGCUGAGAGAGCUGAGGCUGUUCAUCUUGGAGAAGAGAAGGCUUUGAGUUUACCUCCUACAGCUGUGGUAGUAUGCACAACACAGUGGUUUCUCCUCGGCAUCAGUUCAAAAGAAGCUCAAAAACAAAUGAAAGAAAAUACGAGUUCCAUGUCUGAAGUGAGGAGAUUAAGGGAUACUGGACAACUCAUCUCUGAAGAAACUUCAGAGAGCUUUAUUUUUGGCAGCUGGACGGUUGUUCCAAUAGUGCUGUGCAGCUUGCUGGAUGGAGGAGGAUAUUGACUGAUGUGACACCUGCUUGCUGUGAGUCUUACUCUGGUUCCUCUGCAACUUCUCUACAGUGUUACAAAAUAAAGUUGAUGGCACAGGACCUCAGUUUUGAAGUUAAUGUUUGGUGCCUGGGACAUCUCAAAAUUCAAGAGCUGAACUUUUUGGGAUGAAAAUCUUCGGAGAGAAUCAGGCAUUGAUCUAUUAUUUUCUUAGUCAGAGCUUCCACCAUGAGGCUGCCAAAGAAAUAAAUGUCACCUUCUUCACUUUCUUCAGAUGCAGUUUUUGGAAGUGAUAACUGGAACUGCAGUCUGUGAUAUAUAAAAUAUAAGUGUACAUUGGAUUGAGCUCCCGAAAAGGAUUUUGGUAAUGGGAUGUCCUGUUUCUGGAUCCUGUUUAGGCAAUGGGAUUUAGGAUGCUCUACCUAUUAAGAUAGAUACUGUUGCAAUGCAUAUACAGAAAUGAAAUUUUAUGAUUUAGUUCUGAACAACAUUGAGGCACUGAGGUAUAAUCAGCUAGUAAUAGUUGAAAGCAUUGUUUUUCAGAGUAACAGAUUUGUAUUCAAAUAUAUGAAUUCUAACCCACUCCCACUUUGAGUGAUUUGCUAUCUGAGUGAGCAGCAGGAAAUCUUGCAGAUAUUUUUCACUGCAGCAUCCUGAAGAAGCUCAUACUAUUUUCUUUUUUUGUCGUCUUCUUGGUUUUACAGACAUAAUAUAUCCCUAUAUGUUUCUCCAGCAGAACUACAGAUGUCUCCCAUUACUUUUCUACAGCAACAUGGGUUAGAGCUUUCUCUAUAUGAAAAAAAAAAAAAAAAAUGCUAUAAGCCUCAUUUUCACAGUGGUUAUAAUGAUUGUCUUCAAUAGGGCAAUCCUUGCUGCAAGCAUUUCACGACAGUCUCAGUGAGCACAACGCAAAGUCUUUUAAUGCCUCAUCUUCAGGGUGUGGUAAGAUGAUGGGUAUUACAUGAUGCCUAGAAAGAAAUACCUAAUUUUGACCUUUUCAUUGUUUUCAUUAGGAAGGAAGCAAACAAAAAUAUUCUUUUUCUUUUUCCUUUUCCUUUUCCUUUUCCUUUUCCUUUUCCUUUUCCUUUUCCUUUUCCUUUUCCUUUUCCUUUUCCUUUUCCUUUUCCUUUUCCUUUUCCUUUUCCUUUUCCUUCUCCUUCUCCUUCUCCUUCUCCUUCUCCUUCUCCUUCUCCUUCUCCUUCUCCUUCUCCUUCUCCUUCUCCUUCUCUUUCUUUUUCCUUUUCCUUUUUCUCUUUAAAUAAUAACCUGGAAGUAUGGUUGUGCAAAAGCAGAAAUUUUGUUCAAAGAAAGAUUUCCUUUGAGCAAAAAGUACAUUUUAAAGAAAUAAAUUUGACCAUUUUUAGUAACUUACAUGAAAGAAAGAAGAGCUACUGUGAACAGGAAUUCUGAAUUUUUAUGAAUGCCAAUGGUGCUGCUAAAUUAAAAUUUUUCAACUUUUUCCCUUAGUUGGAUCAAAUGUGUUUAAAUUUAUAAAUUAGUAACCAGUUAUUUACAGACAACAAUUUGAAAAUAAAUCAGAGAAAACCAGUAGCAUUUGCCUCAGUACUACUAGAAAGACUGAAUGUAUACCUAGUCACAUUAAGAAAACAGUUACAAGGACCUACAAAACUCAUGCUGACAUUUAGACAGAAAGAACAUAAGCAUCUUUAGGCAAACAAAUUAGUAAGUCUAGCUAUGAAUAGUAAAGCCUCCCACACUAUCUCUGAAUCAGUUACCAACUUGCCUAGUAUAUAUCUGAUGGGCAGCCAAAUGGGAUGUUAUAGAAUGAGCAGCAAACCCUUGAAUAAAAAGUGGACACCCAAGGUGCCAUUUUGAUUAGUAUCUAUCUAUUAAGAUAGUUAGAGGUUUUUUCCUCUUUAAGCUGAUGUAACAUCAGAGAAAGAAGUCUUUGACUUGACCAGAAAUCCUUGACUUGGUUCUUAGAAACCUGAGGAGCACUAGAGUUUAGGCUGGAGAUAUGAAACUUUUUGUGGAAAACUACCACUAUUCUAUCAGAACUUAGCAAAAAAUUCAUUUUGUCAUGUUGAGUGGUGAAUUUUUUGUCCUAACACAUACAGGUUUUGGAAAGCUAUAAAGAAGAAACUUCACUCAACCCAGCUUGCUCCAUCAGUCUAGGAAAAAGCUAUUAGUGUGAAAAGAAAUUCCAAAAGUUUUAGGAGUUGAGAUUCACCUAAAAAUUUAUAUCUGCUAAGUAGAGUGAAAAUUUGAGGAGGAGUACAACUGAAAAGCAGGAACGCAAAUAAAUGUUAUUUCUGUAGAAGUUCAUGGGACUUUUGCUUGCAUGGAAGCCCAAAAGAGUCUGUAGAAUGUUGCCAGUACAUUCAGAAUAAAAUAGGAAUUUUAGAAAAGCAGAAGGAUUUGGCAAUGUCAUGUCCAGGAAUGAAGAAUAAUCAGAAUAAAUUAAGUAGGUCAUGGGAUGGACAGACUCAUAUAAUUACAAUGAAAUCAUAAUAUAAAUCAUUGGAGAACCAGCAGUGGUAAACACUGUUAGGUGGUUUUUUUUAUUGUUGUUUUUUGUGUAUGUGUGUUUGUUUUUGUGGUUUGUUUUUUUUUUCACUGAGGUAGCCAUAUUACAAGCAGGCAGCAUGAAUUACUUUAUUGAAUAUUCAAAGAUGUUUUGAAUACCCUGUAACUUCUUAUGAGAUUAUCAACCACCAUUUUCAGAUGUGCCUUAGGUCACUAAAAUGAUACACAGGACAUCAUUAUGCUUCCUAAAUGAUCUCAAUGCAGCAAUUUCAAUACAGUAGUUUGAUAACCAAUUAAGUGGCAUUCUAAACAUUUUAAGUUUUUCAUAUUUUCAAAAAAUCUCAGUAAGUGAAUAGUGCUAUGUAGUCAAUUUUUAACCCUCACGUGUAAUGACUGGUAAAGGAAGAUGAUUAAAAUCAACCUGGAAUGGUUUGGAUGUGCAAAAAUGUCAAAAUAUCAUGAGAUUAUGUACAGUCUUUAACUAAUGGACCAGUAAUUUGUAGUGAGAGUCAUGAGGCCUUCUGUUAUACAGACCUUUUGUUGAUUUGUCAGGGGAAAACUUUCUUCAGUACUUUUCUUGUAUGAUAUAAAUAAUCAUCACAGGUAGCAGUAAAUAAUUCUUGACUCUAGUUACCUAAAUGAACUUACUGAAACUUAGUGAAACAUCUGUAACAACACUUAGCAGCACUUGCAAAGAAAUCUUGUGCAGUAGUAGCAAAGGGAAACAGCAAUAUUUAGUCUGACAAGCUUUAACUCCAGUCACUGUCAGCCCAUUUUCAAAGGAAAAAAUUGCAGUCUGACUCAGGAUAAAUAUUAUAUGGACUGCUUUGUGGUAAAUCAUUCAUAAAGAAAGGUAGACUGUUCACCAAGAUUAUCUUUCUGAUUCAAAUGUAGCAAAAUGUUAGAUUUUACUUGGGCUCAUUUGUUUUCCUGAAAGACAUUUGAAUAAGCAAAAACCUGUAGAUCUCUCUCUUCUGGUUCCUUUGUUGAGGCAAUAGCUACCACACACAAAGGGACUGUAUAGGCAGGAUAAAGGCAGCUUUAAUACCCUGCACAGUUCCCAACAGCUGGAUGUAGUGUGCAGCUCUGCCAACAAGUCUGUGUAAGCCCAGCAGCACAAAUGAGGUGGUGACACACCAGCAACAACUGCUCUUUGGAAUGUACUCACCAUCAGUUUACUGGAAACAUCUUCCAGCUCCACUGGUCUCCCUUUAGUUUUUGGAUACCUUCCUAGAGCCUUUCUAUUUAACCCCUGAAUCCCUGAACUGCAGACAGUCUUACAUUGACUCACUUACUUUUGCUUGCAGUUUUACUUUUCUUAUCUCACUGGGUUUCCAUCCAUAUAUUUUCUUACAGUUUCCUCAGCAGGAAUGCAGCUUUCCCAGAUGUUUGUGUUGAGUUUACACAGUUAUGCCAGGUCAUUGCUUGGCUGUGGAUCAGGGAGCAUUGAUCAUUCAGAAGGGAGGUUGCCAAUCUGACAGGUGACAGAUCUGCCAGCUCUUCCCAGAAAGAGACUGAGAACCGACAGGAGGAAAUCGAAUGCACUUUAAAUCUGAAAUCUGUCAUCAGAGUAGCAGUCUUCACAAACUCAACUUUUCAAAGAAGGAAAUGUAUAUUUGCACAUUUUUAUAAUACCUAGUAUAAUAGGCCUUUAAUUUUCACUGAGGCCUCUGAAGUGUUGUGUUAUAAAUAUUUCAUAAUCAUGUAGCUGUGUCUCCAUCUCUGUGUACAUCGUCUUCAAACAAGCAGGAAAUAUUGCUGUUUAUCAUGCCCAGCAGCCACUUAAUAUGUGUAACAGGAUGGGCUUUAGUACAGCAGGCUAUCUGAUCACCCCUGUGGAUAAUUUACUGCUGUUUUUCUUCAGUCAGCCAUUCUCUUAACUGAAAAGGGGUGCAGGGGAGACUUAUUCCACUGUAAGGAGUGGAUUUGUAUUAGCUACAUGAAGCCUUGUUUAAACUUGCAGAAGAGUAUUGACACUAUCAAGUCAGAUGCCUGGAUGUCAAGUAUAAGUCCCUUAUAUAAUGACUGAAGCGUCCAGAAUGUAAUUCAGUACAUUUUGAAAAAUGUCAAUGCUUUAGAUUUAAGUUGUACUGAGGAACAACCAUAUGCUACAUUUAAAUAAACUUAAAAUCAGUUUAUAAGCAUUGUAUAAGGGUUCUAUAAGAAUAAGAAUGAAGGCUUAAAUGUGCCUUGCAACAUUACUUCUCUGACAGAUUAUUGAGCUGUACAUAAGAAUGCUUGUUUAGAUACGUGUAUAUAGAGAGACAGAGAGUGCUAUCCUAAACCGUAGAAGGUGUAAUGUCAGUUUUUGAUAGUCCACAGGAAGAUUACACAUUAAAUAUUGUAGAGAGAGAGAGAGACACUGUUAUUUCACGAGCGAUUUGAAAUCAGAUAAUGUCUGUAAAACGCUGAACUAUAUAUGUAUGGAGAUAUUAUACAUAUGUAAUAUGCUUAUUGUAUAUGCAUGCAAACACUUAAAUGUAUCAAUACGUAGAUGCAUUUUAUAUAAAUUAUUUAUAUACUUAUAUAUAUACACUGUGAUAUGAUCACUGCUGCCUCAGGGCAGCUGCCUACAUUCUCUAGGAAAGCAAAUUAUCUCUAGUACAAUACAUCUAUUAGUUAAUUACAGUAUUUGCAUACUUGAUUAUAAAAUAUAUAAAGUAUUUCUAGAUUUGAGAAUUCAUAGACUUUGAGUAGCUUAGUUUAUAAGUGCUCCAUAUUACCUAUGUUAUGUUAGAAUGGCACACUGGAAUGGGAAGAGGACAAAUGAAAUUAAAACAUUAAAUUUAUUACAGUUAUAAAAAUAUGUACACUUUUUAUACAACAAAUAAUUAGACGGUGAAACACCUUGUCGAAAAAUUGUGGAUAAUUGCCUAGUAGGAUGAAAACAGCUGAAUAUAAGUGAGUAAUUAUUAUACCCUGCGGAAUUGCAUUAACUAAACAAACAAUUUAUAAUGGAUAUCAAUAGUCAUUCUAUAUAAUAUAAGCUUACCUGCUUAACAAACUAGAAGAAACAUUCCCUACAGACAAGCAUUUGCAUAAUCCUCAAUUAGGUAUUUGGAGAGGCAUAAAUUUUAAGGCCAAGAGAGAUUGUUAAGAUCAUGUCACCUGACCUUUGAAUAAGCAUGUGCAGCAGAAUGCUGUUAAGUCAUUCCUGACUCAGCCCUUGGUUACCAGCUUUAUUUUAGGAAGAAGAAUUUUAAACUGUUUUCUUUCUAGUUUCAGAUUCUAACUUCUUAUUGGAAAGCUGCUGGAGACCUUUUCUUGCUAUGCUGUUAUUUGGAGUGAAUAAAGAAUCUUUUCUACUUUCAGCUCAGGCAGGCAUUUACACCCACCCAUGGGAAGCAAGCACUGAAGGAAGUGUAGGUGGAGGCGCAACCCGAUGCUCUUGCAGCAUGCAGGCAAGGAGAAGCAGAAGUUUGCUCCCAGUGGUGGGAAACUGAAAACACGUGGGGAUUGAAGUACAAGUCUUCGCAAGCAUCAUCUCAAGACUGACUGCUUCCACCACUCCCUGAGAGGCAACACAGAGGCCUGUGGGAAGCCCAGAUGCCGUGAGCAGGGAGUUAUAUGGCCACUGUGUCCAAGUGGCUUUCCAGGAUACCAGAGGGCAAUGGGGUAUGAGAUGGAGGUGGGAGGCUGACCUCCGAUCACCUCUGGACCCGGGUUGAUCCAUACCCAAGGGCCAGAUUUAGCCAGUAUUCAAGGCCAGUGUGAAAGGAUUUUGAGCUGACAUUAAAAUCAAUUCUAAAUAUUAAGACAAUUCUAAGAUUUACACAUCCUUCUUUACCCUUCCCUUUUCUGUAUGAACAGCGACACUUCAACAGAAAAUUUCCUUAU